rnacentral:tRNA from 1 species
UCUAAAAUGACAGAAAAAUGUAUAAGAUUCAAGCUCUUAUUAUGAAGAUUUACCUUCUUUUAGAA